CCAGAAAACUCCACGUGACCACCCGUCCGAGUGAGGCGCGAACCCACAACCGAACUUCCAGUGUUCAGGGAACGAAAACCGCUUGGCCACUGGUGAGCCGCAAAACCCCGUGACUUCCAGUAUUUUUGACAGACGACUAGCAGAAGCAAAUUUGCAUAUUCGGCAGCCUAUACGCACCCCAACAUCAUCGGCUUAGUUUGCAGUGUCGAUGUGACAGAGAAGUGUGGACAUCUACAAACUGGCAACCUAUCUUGUUAAACGAUGAAUCCCGAUUUUAUUUGGGAACAGACGACCACCUAAUUAAAGGACCGGUGGUUGCUACAAACAGCCAUUUUCCAGCAAGAUAAUGCACGGCCAUACAUUGCUAGGAUUUCCAAAAUAUGAUUUCGUCACACUUCCUUAACUUGCUCUCUCUUCAGAUUUGUAAUACUAUCGGGCGCCACUUCGUCCUUCUACCAGUGUCAGGGACCUGAAGCGGUAUUUGAAACAUCCACGAGGAAAUCUGUGGCCGAAUACCAUAUUGUGUUUGUGUGUUUCUAUUCCCGACUGUAUCUCUUCACCUGACCAAACAGAACAUCAUGAAUUACAUAAUUCUGAUCCUAUUAGUCACAUCCUUAUGCCAAAUUUUACCUGCAAAUACAUACGAUGCCAGUAAGGUCAAUUCAUCUUCAUGGCAUCCGAUUUCAAAAAGAGAUAGCCCGAUCGAAUGGAAAAGUUGCAACGAUGAUGGACCAGUAAGAAUGACUAGUCUUGUUUUAUUUCCGAA